AACGUAGGGGGCGAGCGUUAUCCGGAAUUAUUGGGCGUAAAGAGCACGUAGGCGGCGCUACAAGUUGGGCGUGAAAGCUCUCGGCUUAACCGGGAGAGGUCGUUCAAAACUGUAGGGCUUGAGGUUGAUAGAGGAGAGUAGAAUUCCCGGUGUAGUGGUGGAAUGCGUAGAUAUCGGGAGGAAUACCAGUGGCGAAAGCGGCUCUCUGGAUCACACCUGACGCUGAGGUGCGAAAGCGUGGGUAGCAAACAGG
rnacentral:rRNA from 1 species